GGAAACUUUAAUCUUGGACUACAACUCCCAGCGUGCUGGAGGAUGCUGGGAGUUGUAUCCCCAGCAUCCCAAACCCCAGGCACCUGCUUGGCCUCCCAUCUCUCGGAGCCACCUUAAGCCAGAGAGGAAGGAGGCGGAGGAUAGACAAGGCAGCCUGCAUGUUUUUUCCCCUUUCCAGCCGAGUGUUUGCUUCUUAAUUGAGCCGCUGCUUCAUUCCGCGCUUGUGUGCAGCUCCUGCUGGGACCGUAAUUACUGUACUAUCAGCGCGGGAAGAAGCUGCGAGGGUGGCGAAGGCAGGAGAGGAGAAAUGGCAACAGAGCAACAAGUGGGGAAGGAAGGGAGUCUAGGUUUCUCCUGGCCACUUCCAGGCAUUUUGCUUUCAAGACGUCCCAGUUUUUCUCUCCGUCCGUCACUCUCCUCGCUUUCAAUUGCCACAAGCUGAGCAGCUCUGGAAUAAAAUGGGAACAGCUGCUGUGUUUAAUUAUACAGCAUUUUGGAGAGAGCAGGCAGUGUGUAACCUUUCGGAUGCUGUUGGAUUAAAGCUUUCAUCAUCCCAAAACAUGGACCAUGUUGCUUAGGGAUGAUGAAAGUUGAAGUCCAAGGAUACCAGAUGACUUCCAACCCUGUUAUAAAUCUGAGACAUUUCUACAAGGUGAGUGGUUAAGUAGGUUUGGUUUUGGGUUUGGAAAUUGUAUUCCUUUCCUAGGCCAAAAGUUAGGGCUCUUUAUAAAACCAGGAAUUCUUACAGAUGCCCUUUCAGAACAUAAAAAUUACAGAACUAGGGAAUUUGAGAAUUACAAGGAGUGUGUAACUUUGCGAUAAAAACCAAUCGAGUAGAACAGUUAGCGUGUUUCAUUUCAUGACAACUUUCUCACUUUCAGUUGUAGGAAGGGAGGGGCAAAACACUGGAAGGUGUAGAUGCCUUCUGCGGAACGGUUACCUUCGGAGAUGAAUUCCAUUCAUUUAUUUCUCCUUUGUAUAUUGUUCCAAGUCAGUAU
rnacentral:lncRNA from 11 species